rnacentral:rRNA from 1 species
GAUGAACGCUGGCGGCGUGCCUAAUACAUGCAAGUCGAGCGAACGGACGAGAAGCUUGCUUCUCUGAUGUUAGCGGCGGACGGGUGAGUAACACGUGGAUAACCUACCUAUAAGACUGGGAUAACUUCGGGAAACCGGAGCUAAUACCGGAUAAUAUUUUGAACCGCAUGGUUCAAAAGUGAAAGACGGUCUUGCUGUCACUUAUAGAUGGAUCCGCGCUGCAUUAGCUAGUUGGUAAGGUAACGGCUUACCAAGGCAACGAUGCAUAGCCGACCUGAGAGGGUGAUCGGCCACACUGGAACUGAGACACGGUCCAGACUCCUACGGGAGGCAGCAGUAGGGAAUCUUCCGCAAUGGGCGAAAGCCUGACGGAGCAACGCCGCGUGAGUAAUGAAGGUCUUCGGAUCGUAAAACUCUGUUAUUAGGGAAGAACAUAUGUGUAAGUAACUGUGCACAUCUUGACGGUACCUAAUCAGAAAGCCACGGCUAACUACGUGCCAGCAGCCGCGGUAAUACGUAGGUGGCAAGCGUUAUCCGGAAUUAUUGGGCGUAAAGCGCGCGUAGGCGGUUUUUUAAGUCUGAUGUGAAAGCCCACGGCUCAACCGUGAAGGGUCAUUGGAAACUGGAAAACUUGAGUGCAGAAGAGGAAAGUGGAAUUCCAUGUGUAGCGGUGAAAUGCGCAGAGAUAUGGAGGAACACCAGUGGCGAAGGCGACUUUCUGGUCUGUAACUGACGCUGAUGUGCGAAAGCGUGGGGAUCAAACAGGAUUAGAUACCCUGGUAGUCCACGCCGUAAACGAUGAGUGCUAAGUGUUAGGGGGUUUCCGCCCCUUAGUGCUGCAGCUAACGCAUUAAGCACUCCGCCUGGGGAGUACGACCGCAAGGUUGAAACUCAAAGGAAUUGACGGGGACCCGCACAAGCGGUGGAGCAUGUGGUUUAAUUCGAAGCAACGCGAAGAACCUUACCAAAUCUUGACAUCCUUUGACAACUCUAGAGAUAGAGCUUUCCCCUUCGGGGGACAAAGUGACAGGUGGUGCAUGGUUGUCGUCAGCUCGUGUCGUGAGAUGUUGGGUUAAGUCCCGCAACGAGCGCAACCCUUAAGCUUAGUUGCCAUCAUUAAGUUGGGCACUCUAAGUUGACUGCCGGUGACAAACCGGAGGAAGGUGGGGAUGACGUCAAAUCAUCAUGCCCCUUAUGAUUUGGGCUACACACGUGCUACAAUGGACAAUACAAAGGGCAGCGAAACCGCGAGGUCAAGCAAAUCCCAUAAAGUUGUUCUCAGUUCGGAUUGUAGUCUGCAACUCGACUACAUGAAGCUGGAAUCGCUAGUAAUCGUAGAUCAGCAUGCUACGGUGAAUACGUUCCCGGGUCU